rnacentral:rRNA from 1 species
GAUGAACGCUGGCGGCGUGCCUAAUACAUGCAAGUCGAGCGAACGGACGAGAAGCUUGCUUCUCUGAUGUUAGCGGCGGACGGGUGAGUAACACGCGGAUAACCUACCUAUAAGACUGGGAUAACUUCGGGAAACCGGAGCUAAUACCGGAUAAUAUUUUGAACCGCAUGGUUCAAAAGUGAAAGACGGUCCUGCUGUCACUUAUAGAUGGAUCCGCGCUGCAUUAGCUAGUUGGUAAGGUAACGGCUUACCAAGGCAACGAUGCAUAGCCGACCUGAGAGGGUGAUCGGCCACACUGGAACUGAGACACGGUCCAGACUCCUACGGGAGGCAGCAGUAGGGAAUCUUCCGCAAUGGGCGAAAGCCUGACGGAGCAACGCCGCGUGAGUGAUGAAGGUCUUCGGAUCGUAAAACUCUGUUAUUAGGGAAGAACAUAUGUGUAAGUAACUGUGCACAUCUUGACGGUACCUAAUCAGAAAGCCACGGCUAACUACGUG